CCACCCCUGUGGUCUCUAGGAAGGGACAGUGUCCCCUGCCAAGGCCAGGGCUGGCAGGUGUGUGGCUGUUUCCCGAUGUCUGCAAGAGGCCUGGUGCUCUGCUGGGCCCCAUCAGUGGCUGGAAGCAAGAGCCCCAGCUGCCCCCAAGGCUGUGCAGUUCUCCUGCUGCAGCCUGUCCCCACAGCUGUGUCCCUGGCUGUGCCCACAGCUGUGUCCCUGCCUGUGGCCAGGCUCUUGGCUCUCUGGCUGCCAGCUGAGUGAGGCCCACCCUGGCUCAGGGCUCCCUGCUCUGCUCCCUGGCCAUGGGCUGAGCAGAUUGCAGGGCCGGCUCUGCUUCUGGCAGCCAGCAGCUCUUUCCUGCUCCAGGUGAACGGUUCAGGCGCCAUCCCGUGGGCACGGCGGUGCUGAUUCUGCUGCUCCUGGUGCUGGUGCUGGCUUUGGGGGCGGCCUUGGCUGUGCAGUCAGCAGCACCACAGGUUCCAGUUACACCUGCACCAUCACAGUGUAUUCUGGGCUGUCCCUUUGACUGGAUUGGGUACAAGGGGGUCUGCUACUACUUCUCACGGGAUUACAGCACCUGGGAUCAGGGUCAGGAACGGUGCUCCGAGCUCGGGGCCUCCCUGGCCAUUGCCAAGGAUGAGGAGGCCAUGGAUUUGCUCUUCCGCCU